CACCUGUGUUACACGCUCACACACACACACCUGUGUUACUCCUUCCACACGCUUCGAUUCGGCUGAACCAAACGAGAGUACUCGCAUGCUCCCUUAAAAGACCUUCUCUUGAAAAACAAGAAAAAAAAGUAGCGAUGGUACUGUUUGUCCAACUUGAGACGCCGUAGCCAAUAUACACUUCCUCAAAAUAAUCAGAAUUAAUCUAAAGAUAACUCAAGAAAUCUGUCCAAAAUGUACGUUUUUGUCAAGGAGAUGCUAGUCGAACGGUUUUACACACAGCUAUCUCACACACACCUGUCUCACACACACCUGUCUCACACACACCUGUCUCACACACACCUGUCUCACACACAGCUGUCUCACACACACCUGUCUCACACACACCUGUCUCACACACACCUGUCUCACACACAGCUCUCUCACACACACCUGUCUUACACACAGCUCUCACACACACCUGUCUUACACACAGC
ensembl:lncRNA